rnacentral:rRNA from 1 species
UACGUAGGUGGCAAGCGUUGUCCGGAUUUACUGGGCGUAAAGGAUGCGUAGGCGGAUAUUUAAGUGAGAUGUGAAAUACCCGGGCUCAACUUGGGUGCUGCAUUUCAAACUGGAUAUCUAGAGUGCAGGAGAGGAAAGUGGAAUUCCUAGUGUAGCGGUGAAAUGCGUAGAGAUUAGGAAGAACAUCAGUGGCGAAGGCGACUUUCGUGGACUGUAA